UACAGUAACAUUCUAUAUACUGGUGAUCCUGGAGUCACUCUGUUACAGGUACAGUAACAUUCUAUAUACUGGUGAUCCUGGAGUCACUCUGUCUGUUACAGGUACAGUAACAUUCUAUAUACUGGUGAUCCUGGAGUCACUCUGUCUGUUACAGGUACAGUAACAUUCUAUAUACUGGUGAUCCUGGAGUCACUCUGUCUGUAACAGGUACAGUUACAUUCUAUAUACUGGUGAUCCUGGAGUCACUCUGUCUGUA